UUAAGCGACUAAGCGUACACGGUGGAUGCCCUGGCAGUCAGAGGCGAUGAAGGACGUGCUAAUCUGCGAAAAGCGUCGGUAAGGUGAUAUGAACCGUUAUAGCCGGCGAUGUCCGAAUGGGGAAACCCAGUGCAAUUCGUUGCACUAUCGUUUGAUGAAUACAUAGUCAAACGAGGCGAACCGGGGGAACUGAAACAUCUAAGUACCCCGAGGAAAAGAAAUCAACCGAGAUUCCCCCAGUAGCGGCGAGCGAACGGGGAGCAGCCCGGAGUCUGAAUCAGCUUGUGUGUUAGUGGAAGCGUCUGGAAAGUCGCAGGGUACAGGGUGAUACUCCCGUACACUAAAGCACACAGGUUGUGAACUCGAAGAGUAGGGCGGGACACGUGGUAUCCUGUCUGAAUAUGGGGGGACCAUCCUCCAAGGCUAAAUACUCCUGACUGACCGAUAGUGAACCAGUACCGUGAGGGAAAGGCGAAAAGAACCCCGGCGAGGGGAGUGAAAAAGAACCUGAAACCGUGUACGUACAAGCAGUAGGAGCCUCUUUAUGGGGUGACUGCGUACCUUUUGUAUAAUGGGUCAGCGACUUAUAUUCUGUAGCAAGGUUAACCGUAUAGGGGAGCCGCAGGGAAACCGAGUCUUAACUGGGCGUUAAGUUGCAGGGUAUAGACCCGAAACCCGGUGAUCUAGCCAUGGGCAGGUUGAAGGUUGGGUAACACUAACUGGAGGACCGAACCGACUAAUGUUGAAAAAUUAGCGGAUGACUUGUGGCUGGGGGUGAAAGGCCAAUCAAACCGGGAGAUAGCUGGUUCUCCCCGAAAGCUAUUUAGGUAGCGCCUCGUGAACUCAUCUUCGGGGGUAGAGCACUGUUUCGGCUAGGGGGUCAUCCCGACUUACCAACCCGAUGCAAACUACGAAUACCGAAGAAUGUUAUCACGGGAGACACACGGCGGGUGCUAACGUCCGUCGUGAAGAGGGAAACAACCCAGACCGCCAGCUAAGGUCCCAAAGUCAUGGUUAAGUGGGAAACGAUGUGGGAAGGCCCAGACAGCCAGGAUGUUGGCUUAGAAGCAGCCAUCAUUUAAAGAAAGCGUAAUAGCUCACUGGUCGAGUCGGCCUGCGCGGAAGAUGUAACGGGGCUAAACCAUGCACCGAAGCUGCGGCAGCGACACUAUGUGUUGUUGGGUAGGGGAGCGUUCUGUAAGCCGUUGAAGGUGGCCUGUGAGGGUUGCUGGAGGUAUCAGAAGUGCGAAUGCUGACAUAAGUAACGAUAAUGCGGGUGAAAAACCCGCACGCCGGAAGACCAAGGGUUCCUGUCCAACGUUAAUCGGGGCAGGGUGAGUCGACCCCUAAGGCGAGGCCGAAAGGCGUAGUCGAUGGGAAACAGGUUAAUAUUCCUGUACUCGGUGUUACUGCGAAGGGGGGACGGAGAAGGCUAUGUUGGCCGGGCGACGGUUGUCCCGGUUUAAGCAUGUAGGCGGAUGUUCCAGGUAAAUCCGGAACGUUACUAACGCUGAGGUGUGAUGACGAGGCACUACGGUGCUGAAGUGACAAAUGCCCUGCUUCCAGGAAAAGCCUCUAAGCAUCAGGUAACAUCAAAUCGUACCCCAAACCGACACAGGUGGUCAGGUAGAGAAUACCAAGGCGCUUGAGAGAACUCGGGUGAAGGAACUAGGCAAAAUGGUGCCGUAACUUCGGGAGAAGGCACGCUGAUAUGUAGGUGAAGUGGUUUACCCAUGGAGCUGAAAUCAGUCGAAGAUACCAGCUGGCUGCAACUGUUUAUUAAAAACACAGCACUGUGCAAACACGAAAGUGGACGUAUACGGUGUGACGCCUGCCCGGUGCCGGAAGGUUAAUUGAUGGGGUUAUCCGUAAGGAGAAGCUCUUGAUCGAAGCCCCGGUAAACGGCGGCCGUAACUAUAACGGUCCUAAGGUAGCGAAAUUCCUUGUCGGGUAAGUUCCGACCUGCACGAAUGGCGUAAUGAUGGCCAGGCUGUCUCCACCCGAGACUCAGUGAAAUUGAACUCGCUGUGAAGAUGCAGUGUACCCGCGGCAAGACGGAAAGACCCCGUGAACCUUUACUAUAGCUUGACACUGAACACUGGUCCUUGAUGUGUAGGAUAGGUGGGAGGCUUUGAAGUGUGGACGCCAGUCUGCAUGGAGCCAUCCUUGAAAUACCACCCUUUAAUGGCUGGUGUUCUAACGUGGGCCCGUUAUCCGGGUUGCGGACAGUGUCUGGUGGGUAGUUUGACUGGGGCGGUCUCCUCCUAAAGAGUAACGGAGGAGCACGAAGGUCAGCUAAUCCUGGUCGGACAUCAGGAGGUUAGUGCAAUGGCAUAAGCUGGCUUGACUGCGAGCGUGACGGCGCGAGCAGGUGCGAAAGCAGGUCAUAGUGAUCCGGUGGUUCUGAAUGGAAGGGCCAUCGCUCAACGGAUAAAAGGUACUCCGGGGAUAACAGGCUGAUACCGCCCAAGAGUUCAUAUCGACGGCGGUGUUUGGCACCUCGAUGUCGGCUCAUCACAUCCUGGGGCUGAAGUAGGUCCCAAGGGUAUGGCUGUUCGCCAUUUAAAGUGGUACGCGAGCUGGGUUUAGAACGUCGUGAGACAGUUCGGUCCCUAUCUGCCGUGGGCGCUGGAGAAUUGAGGGGGGCUGCUCCUAGUACGAGAGGACCGGAGUGGACGCAUCACUGGUGUUCGGGUUGUCAUGCCAAUGGCAUUGCCCGGUAGCUAAAUGCGGAAGAGAUAAGUGCUGAAAGCAUCUAAGCACGAAACUUGCCCCGAGAUGAGUUCUCCCUGACUCCUUGAGAGUCCUGAAGGAACGUUGAAGACGACGACGUUGAUAGGCCGGGUGUGUAAGCGCAGCGAUGCGUUGAGCUAACCGGUACUAAUGAACCGUGAGGCUUAACCUU
rnacentral:rRNA from 1 species